rnacentral:tRNA from 4 species
UGGCUCAGUUGGUAGAGCGCACCCUUGGUAAGGGUGAGGUCCCCAGUUCGACUCUGGGUAUCAGCACCA